GAUGAAGAACGCAGCGAAAUGCGAUAAGUAGUGUGAAUUGCAGAAUUCAGUGAAUCAUCGAAUCUUUGAACGCACAUUGCGCCCCCUGGUAUUCCGGGGGGCAUGCCUGUCCGAGCGUCAUUGCUGCCCUCAAGCACGGCUUGUGUGUUGGGCCUCCGUCCUCCUCCCGGGGGACGGGCCCGAAAGGCAGCGGCGGCACCGCGUCCGGUCCUCGAGCGUAUGGGGCUUCGUCACCCGCUCUUGUAGGCCCGGCCGGCGCUUGCCGACACAUCAAUCUUUUUUCCAGGUUGACCUCGGAUCAGGUAGGGAUACCCGCUGAACUUAAGCAUAUCAAUAAGCGGAGGA
rnacentral:misc_RNA from 1 species